UACGUAGGGUGCAAGCGUUUGUCCGGAAUUAUUGGGCGUAAAGAGCGUGUAGGCGGCCCGAUUAGUCCGCUGUGAAAGUCCAGGGCUCAACCCUGGAAUGCCGGUGGAUACUGUCGGGCUAGAGUCCGGAAGGGGCGAGUGGAAUUCCUGGUGUAGCGGUGAAAUGCGCAGAUAUCAGGAAGAACACCGGUGGCGAAGGCGGCUCUCUGGGCCUUACCUGACGCUGAGGAGCGAAAGCGUGGGUAGCGAACAGG
rnacentral:rRNA from 1 species